UCCGAUAUGGUGUAGUGGCCAACAUGAUGCCCUCUCAUCGCGGGAGGUUAGGCAUAGCCCCGAGUUCGAUUCUCGGUUUCGGAA
rnacentral:tRNA from 2 species